rnacentral:rRNA from 1 species
AUUGAACGCUGGCGGCAGGCCUUACACAUGCAAGUCGAACGGCAGCACAGUAAGAUCUCGCUUUUACGGGUGGCGAGGGCCGGUCGAGUGAUGCAUACCUUCCUGUCUACUAUUUCGUGGGGGAUAUCGCAAGGACUCCUACACCAAUACCGCAUACUUCCUACGGGUGUAAUCAUGGUAACUUCCGUCCUUUCCCGGAACGUUGAUCCUACGUCGGAUUAGUUAGUUGUCGGGUUAAGUGCCUACCAAGGCGACCAUCCGUAGCUGGUCUGAGAGGAUGUGCAGCCACACGGGUACUGAGACGCGGUCCAGACUCCGACGGAAGGCAGCAGUGGGGAAUUUUGGACAAUGGGCGCAAGUCUAAUCCAGCCAUGCCGCGUGGGAGACGAAGGCCGUCGGGUUGUAAAGCACUUUUGUUCAGAAAGAAAAGCUUCAGGUUAAUACCCGGAUAUCCUGACGGUACCCAAAGAAUAAGCACCGGCUAACUACGUG